rnacentral:lncRNA from 10 species
AGGAGCUGCCACCCCAGUAUUUCAGUUCAGAAACCUCUGGUUCCUGUGCUCUCAAUCCUGAGGAGGUCCUAGAGCAGCCACAACCCCUCAGCUUUGGCCACCUGGAGGGCUCGAGACAGGGUUCACAAAGUGUCCCAGCAGAGCAAGAAUCCUUUGCACUCCAUUCCAGUGAUUUCUUGCCUCCAAUAAGGGGUCACUUGGGAUCUCAACCUGAGCAGGCUCAGCCCCCUUGCUACUAUGGCAUUGGUGGGCUUUGGAGGACAUCGGGACAGGAAGCCACUGAAUCCGCCAAGUAAGUACAUAUGAAAGAUACUAGGUCUCUGAAGAGGCAGGCAGCACAAGUUUGAAUUUUACCUCCACUAUUUACUAACUGGAUGACCUCAGGCUGGCCAGUUAAACUGCUCCCAGCCUCAGUUUUCUUACCUGGAAAAUGGGUAUAAUGAUACUUGCUUCACAUGAUUGUUAUGAAUAUUAAGAUAAUCUACAUAAAGGAUAUAGCUCCAUGCUUAGCACAUAGUACAUGCUCAGUAAAUAUCAUGUUCUUAUCCCUAAAUAUCUUUAUUAAAGUACUAUACUUUUCCUUAGUGUGUCUUCAUGGUAUCCAUCAAUUUCUGGCCCCUGAUCCCAAAGGCAUUGAACACUUGUUGCCUAUACUAGGUCUUUCCCAGAAACCUGGCUCAGGCACUUUUCCUGCCUUCUCUUCUGCUUGCCCUCCAGAAUAAGAGGCCAGCUCACAACCUGACCUGCCUCUGCUCUAGGACAAGUAGCCUGGGCUUCUAAACUCGUCCCCCCACAACCACCAGCAUCAAAGGUAUUCCUGGGGCUGGGUGCUUCAUGCCUUGAUAAUUCCUUACAAUAGAUAAGGACAUUCUUUUUCUCUUCCACUUUCUCCCCCUCCUUGUUUACCUGCCUCUUUGCAUUCAUGUGGGUGUGUAAUAGGUGGUAGUUGACAGGGUGAGCUGCCUGGGCAGGGAGGCCAAAGCAAGAGUGUGUUCUGGCAGCAGGACUGCCAGUGUUUGUUCACUCCACUGAGCCAGUUGUCAUCUGCAUGCCCUAUAGUGCAUGGUUGGGUUUUUUUUUUUAAUUUCUUUUGCUCCAAAGCAAAAGCCCCAGGACCAUCAUUGCUAUUAUUGCUCAGUGCUCUGGCUGUCAGCAGCUCCACCUGCUCUCCUGUGGAGAGCUCAGCCCACUCUCUGCUGGGGCUGAGGUUCGGGAGGCAGGUGGCUUAUAAGUGCUUUCCUUAACUCUCUUUAUAGCAGGAAUUUGCCUGAGACUUGUUGCGGUUAGAAGUACCUUGUUAUCAUGUCUUUUAUUGUCAGACAAAUCUGUGACUUGUCUAUGUGGAGCUAGUUGAUCAGUUUUCCAGCCCAAGAUGCCAUAAGCACAGCAUUUACAGGGCCUGGCUCCCAGGCACUGUUAAGAAUCCUUCAUGAGGGGGGGAGGGGGGAGGGAUAGCAUUGGGAGACAUACCUAAUGCUAGAUGAUGAGUUAGUGGGUGCAGCGCACCAGCAUGGCACAUGUAUACAUAUGUAACUAACCUGCACAAUGUGCACAUGUACCCUAAAAUUUAAAGUAUAAUUAAAAAAAAAAAAAAGAAUCCUUCAUUAGAUCCCAUGUGGCUGCUUCUCAAGCUGUUCUUCUACCUGGGGAGCAUUCUCAUUGUAAUUAGAAAACAUUUUGUGAAAAAUACCUGUGAUUGUUAUCUAUCAUAGCAGGGAAAAGGGAAAAUGACCUCCCAAUAGUAGGCACUUAACAAAUAUUUAAGAAGAAAGAACAAAUAAAUGAAUGGAUGAACAUUUAUUAAGUAUUUCUUAUAUACCAGACACUGCCAGACAUUAUGUAUCUAUUUCAUUUAAUCCUCCCAAUAGCCCUAUUAGCCAUUAUUAUCCCCAUUUGACAGAUGAGGAAACUAACUAAUUCCAAGUUACACAGCAAACAUUCAAAGCCAGAGCUGUCUGACUCCAAAGCCCAUGCUUAUUUUGCCUUCCUAGGCAGCCUCUC